AACGAACGCUGGCGGCAGGCUUAACACAUGCAAGUCGAACGCCCCGCAAGGGGAGUGGCAGACGGGUGAGUAACGCGUGGGAAUCUACCCAGUUCUACGGAACAACUGAGGGAAACUUCAGCUAAUACCGUAUACGCCCUACGGGGGAAAGAUUUAUCGGAAUUGGAUGAGCCCGCGUUGGAUUAGCUAGUUGGUGGGGUAAUGGCCUACCAAGGCGACGAUCCAUAGCUGGUCUGAGAGGAUGAUCAGCCACACUGGGACUGAGACACGGCCCAGACUCCUACGGGAGGCAGCAGUGGGGAAUAUUGGACAAUGGGCGAAAGCCUGAUCCAGCCAUGCCGCGUGAGUGAUGAAGGCCCUAGGGUUGUAAAGCUCUUUCAGUGGGGAAGAUAAUGACGGUACCCACAGAAGAAGCCCCGGCUAACUUCGUGCCAGCCGCCGCCGUAACAC
rnacentral:rRNA from 1 species